AGGAUGAACGCUGGCGGCGUGCCUAACACAUGCAAGUCGAACGUCCUGUCUCGCAAGAGGCAGGGAGUGGCGGACGGGUGAGUACCACGUGGGUCAUCUACCGUGAGGUGAGGAAUACCGGCGAGAAAUCGCCGACAAGACCGCAUAGGCUCGAUGCAAGUCGAGCAAAGCUCUUUCGAGAGAGGGAGCGCCACACGAGGAGCCUGCGCCCGAUUAGCUAGCUGGUGGAGUAACGGUUCACCAGGGCGACGAUCGGUAGCUGGUCUGAGAGGACGAUCAGCCACACUGGGAUUGAGAACGGCCCAGACUCCUACGGGGGGCAGCAGUGAGGAAUUUUCGUCAAUGGGGGCAACCCUGAACGAGCAACGCCGCGUGCAGGAAGAGGUUUCGGAUCGUAAACUGCUUUUCUCGGGGAAGAGAACGGACGGUACCCGAGGAAUCAGCCCGGCUAACUACGCGCCAGCAGCCGCGGU
rnacentral:rRNA from 1 species